GACGAACGCUGGCGGCGUGCUUAACACAUGCAAGUCGAGCGGUAAGGCCCUUCGGGGUACACGAGUGGCGAACGGGUGAGUAACACGUGGGUGAUCUGCCCUGCACUUCGGGAUAAGCCUGGGAAACUGGGUCUAAUACCGGAUAGGACCCGUGCCUGCAUGGGUGGAGGUGGAAAGCUUUUGCGGUGUGGGAUGGGCCCGCGGCCUAUCAGCUUGUUGGUGGGGUGAUGGCCUACCAAGGCGACGACGGGUAGCCGGCCUGAGAGGGUGACCGGCCACACUGGGACUGAGAUACGGCCCAGACUCCUACGGGAGGCAGCAGUGGGGAAUAUUGCACAAUGGGCGCAAGCCUGAUGCAGCGACGCCGCGUGAGGGAUGACGGCCUUCGGGUUGUAAACCUCUUUCAGCACCGACGAAGCGCAAGUGACGGUAGGUGCAGAAGAAGGACCGGCCAACUACGUGCCAGCCGCCGCCGUAA
rnacentral:rRNA from 1 species